rnacentral:rRNA from 1 species
UACGGAAGGCAGCAGGGGGAAUAUUGGACAAUGGGCGAAAGCCUGAUCCAGCCAUGCCGCAUGAGUGAAGAAGGCCUUCGGGUUGUAAAGCUCUUUUAGUGAGAAAGAUAAUGACGGUACUCACAGAAGAAGUCCUGGCUAACUCCGUGCCAGCAGCCGCGGUAAUACGGAGGGUGCGAGCGUUAAUCGGAAUUACUGGGCGUAAAGGGCACGCAGGCGGUUAAUUAAGUUGGAUGUGAAAUCCCCGGGCUUAACCUGGGAAUGGCAUUCAAGACUGGUUAGCUAGAGUCUUGUAGAGGGGGUAGAAUUCCAUGUGUAGCGGUGAAAUGCGUAGAGAUGUGGAGGAAUACCGGUGGCGAAGGCGGCCCCUGGACAAAGACUGACGCUCAUGUGCGAAAGCGUGGGGAGCAAACAGGGAUUAGAUACC